GAUUUCUGGUUCGGCGCACUUGGCCCGUCUUGGUUUACAAGAUUGUGUGCCGGUGUUGCGCCAGCCAUCCUUCGAGUGAAAUACUUCUAGCCUUCACUGGUUCGGGAGUAUGUGUACCUCGAUCUUUUACUUUGAAAAAAUUAGAGUGUUUCAAGCAGGCUUUAUGCUAUGAAUACAUUAGCAUGGAAUAAUAAUUUAGGACUUCGGUUCUAUUUUGUUGGUUUCUAGGACUGAAGUAAUGAUUGAUAGGGAUAGUUGGGGGUGCUAGUAUUCAGCGGCCAGAGGUGAAAUUCUCGGAUUCGCUGAAGACUAACUUAUGCGAAAGCAUU
rnacentral:rRNA from 1 species